CAAUAAGCCAGCGAACAAUAAGGCGAUAUAUCGAGAAACCAAACAACAGAAUAUGACAACAACGGCCGUUAAAUAAAAAAAUAUUCAAAAAGGCAGAAAAUCCGUUAAAAUAUAGCAAUUUUAACUCAAUUUUGAAAUGGUUUUUAUCCCAUCUAUUGAUAAAACAAGUCACAUCUCUUUUUAGGCUAAUAUUCAGUACCAC
rnacentral:lncRNA from 1 species